AUUGAACGCUGGCGGCAUGCCUUACACAUGCAAGUCGAACGGCAGCACGGGUGCUUGCCCCUGGUGGCGAGUGGCGAACGGGUGAGUAAUACAUCGGAACAUGUCCUGUAGUGGGGGAUAGCCCGGCGAAAGCCGGAUUAAUGCCGCAUACGAUCUACGGAUGAAAGCGGGGGACCUUCGGGCCUCGCGCUAUAGGGUUGGCCGAUGGCUGAUUAGCUAGUUGGUGGGGUAAAGGCCUACCAAGGCGACGAUCAGUAGCUGGUCUGAGAGGACGACCAGCCACACUGGGACUGAGACACGGCCCAGACUCCUACGGGAGGCAGCAGUGGGGAAUUUUGGACAAUGGGCGAAAGCCUGAUCCAGCAAUGCCGCGUGUGUGAAGAAGGCCUUCGGGUUGUAAAGCACUUUUGUCCGGAAAGAAAUCCUUGGCCCUAAUACGGUCGGGGGAUGACGGUACCGGAAGAAUAAGCACCAGCUAACUACGUG
rnacentral:rRNA from 1 species